UACGUAGGGGGCUAGCGUUGUCCGGAUUUAUUGGGCGUAAAGCGCGUGUAGGCGGCCAGAUAGGUCUGCUGUGAAAACUCGAGGCUCAACCUCGAGCCGUCGGCGGAAACCAUGUGGCUAGAGUCCGGAAGAGGAGAAUGGAAUUCCCGGUGUAGCGGUGAAAUGCGCAGAUAUCGGGAAGAACACCCGUGGCGAAGGCGGUUCUCUGGGACGGUACUGACGCUGAGACGCGAAAGCGUGGGGAGCGAACAGG
rnacentral:rRNA from 1 species